rnacentral:lncRNA from 1 species
ACCCAAGUUUAUUUCUAAAUGAAAUAAAACGAGUUGAUACCUAAGAGCAAGUGGCAAAGGGCUCGAUAGUUGGUACCCGAGACCCAAGUUCGAAUCCUAGUUGAUUCACAUUUCUAGCUAAGUUUAUUUCUAAAUGAAAUAAAACGAAGCGGGUAGCGUGCUACCUAUUUCUCAAAAAAAAAAGAAAAAAAAGGAAUGGAUCAAAACACUCUUUUCUCCUUUCCCUGCAACUUUCUUUUCUUGAUUCUUAUUCUGUCUCCUUACCCCCUCCACACAUCUGAGUAGCUAAACUUUUCUCCAUUUCUACCAUCUCUCUUCGUACGUAUACAAAUACAUACACAUAUACAUAUAUAGAGUUCGGCUACUACACUCUUAUGAGUACGAUUGCAUUCGUACUCAUUAGUUGUUUUUGAUGAUAGAGCUUUCGAAUCGACGAUCCAGACCGUUAAACAUUAUUUAGAGCAUUUUAAAACUUCUAGAAAUCAAAUUUUAUAAUUUUUCGAUAUCAUUUACCUUACAAUCAAUAGCUCACAAAUUGACAAUGGUUAACGGCCGAUAUGUGAUAUUUGCUAGUUUAACGGUGUAAAAGAAUCGGAAUAGCUUGAAUUUUUGAUAGAAAAUUCUAUUCAUUACCUAGAUAAAGAUCAAUAACCCCGAUCUUAAAUUGAAGGAUCCGAUCAUCCAUUUUUAGUACGUCGUUCGAUUUUGACUGUUCAUUUUAUAUCCGCCUGAUGGACUUUAUAAUGAUUUCGAAAAAUUACGAAAUUUAUUUUCUAGAAGUUUCAAAUACUCUAGAUAAUGUUUAACGAUGGGGAUCAUCGAUUCGUAAGCCCCAACAUCGAAAACAACUUAUGAGUACGAAGGGCUCUGUACUCAUAAGAGUAUAGUAGCCCUACUCUAUAGAGAGAGAGAGAGAGAGAGAGAGAGAGAGAGAGAACUGGAAUACUAUCAAUUUCUUUGAUCAUUUCUAACCUUUAGAUUAAUACUAUUACUCUGUGGGGACCACUUACUACUCAACCCUAGGAGAGACCAUAAUCAUCCCAACCGUAAAAUUCUUAAUCCAAGGAUAAAAAAAGUUGGAAAUACCAAAUCCUCUAUACUUUACUUUCAAUAGCACUAGUUAAACACCCGCGUUUCGCUGCGGGAAAAAAAAUUACAGUAAAUAUACAAUAAUAAUUAAUAAAUAAUAACAAAAAAAAGUAUUAAAAAUAAAAAUUAUUUAUAUAUUAGCCCCUUUCUCCUUCACUGCACCGCCAAUCCUGUCGCGCCGUACGCGAAUCCCGGAGAUCGCGAGAUUACAACCAUCCCCUGAUCGGAUCCCGGCGAUCCUGCGAAGCCCGCCGAUCCGCCAGAAAUCCGCCCCGUACACAGAUCCCGCGAAUCCCGCACCCCAAAUCUCACCGGCGCAACGUCUCGCUACUCCGCGCCGCUCGCUGAGCCAGAGAUCCCGCAAAUCCCGCCAUCCCGUACGCAAAUCCCGGAGAUCACGCCAUUGCCGUACGCAGAUCCCGCGG